GUGACCGCCUGACCGGGAGCGUGUCCAUCGGGACCAUGCUCGGAGUCUGGGGGACCCUUCCUCUUUAUUAUACCUGUAUUCAGCCCAGGCUGUCUUGUUUGAGUCAUUCGUCAGGAUAAUCAGCACACGUCGUAGCAAGGAGAGGAGCGUACCUGGAUCCCAAGCCGUCGUUCCUGCCGUGGUAGUCGCAGGUGCAUUGCGAAGGACACGAACAGCCCCCUCCUCCCAAACAGCUCAGCAGGAUGCACAGACAGGCGAAGAGACGCAUCACUCCUUUUAGAGGUUGUCUGAACAAAAGGUUCUUCCAGAAGGCAGUGGGUUUUGAGAUACACCCAUUGGGAAAAUACUUGUCACGGGCAUUGCUUGGUGAGUCUGACAUUUGAACAUGGCAAACAUUGCCCUCCGAAACCUACAAUAGAAAAGAGAAGAUCUGGCAUUAUCCUAUAAUAAAUGGGAAGUUUUAAAGCAUUUUUGAAGGCGGCUAUGGUGCUGCUACUGCCAAUUGACAUCUCCAAAUAAAUUUCUGCCUCCAACUUUAACAUCUCCCGUUGAGAACCUUUAUACACGUAGAGGGUAUGUGGUGCAGUUAAGGACCUGUUUUGCACCUUGAUUAUAAACAUUGAAGACAUUUAAUAAAAGCCAAUAAUGAUGUGUGUUUGAAAUAACAUUUCUAAUGUCAAGUGCAAUGAGUUAUUUAUUUGAACUAACAAUGUAUGUUUCAUGCAUCUGUUUUUCCAAGCAAAGGCCAGUUGAAAUUAAGGAGGCUUGAGAAUGACUGACCUUUCCCAAAAGUCUACCAGCAGACUCUGAAUUUAAAAUCUGUUCUUUACUCUGAUGUGGUCUUUCUGGUCUUAAAAUUUGUAUGGUCCUUCACAUACCUGUCGCUAAAGCUGCUCUCCCAAACGUGCAAGUUUAUACAAAUUUAAUAGAAGCAACAUUGUCACUCCAGGAUCAAAUUACCUCACCUCUACUGAGAUUUUCUGGCCAACUAUUUAAGCACAGUAGAUUGAGUCAUUCAAUUUUUCCAGCAGUAAUAGGAAAUGAAAUAAUCUAAAUUUCAUUGAGGAGGCAAGAAAGGAACUCUUUGCUGAGAGUUCCACAAAAUGGAGGGGGAUGAAUUCUCUAAUAUCCUGAAUGACAACCCACUCCUAAAGCCCUUUAUGUUAGCAGUAGAUUCUUCUCUUGCAUUUGAACGAUAUGUCUUCAUUCUGGGAAAUAUACAACCACGCUACCCAUUAAGGGAGACCAGCAUUGCCUUGUCCGUUUUCUAGAAAUAGAAUCACUCUUUACUUUGGAAACCAUCAUCCCAUGUAUUUGGGGUGGGGUGCCCAUUUGAACCAAGUGACCAACGAUCUCCCAGGGUCUUUUCCAUCAGAGAACCAACUGAUAUGAAGCUGGCUUUGGGGAUGCUUAGCUGACAUCUGUCACAAAUCUGGAGCUCUCGGCACUUAGGGCCUAGAUGCUGCUCCAGUUGCAUGAGCCAGAUAUUCUUUGUACUGGAUUGAAGUGAGUUUCUUUUACUCACCUCCUGAAAAGUCUUGGAACGUUAUCCACUGCCUCGUAAGCAUUUUUGUAUCGAUUUUUUAAAUUCAAACGCAUUUUAGA